ACAGAAGUCACUUAACUAAGUCUAGGUUCCUCAUCUGUGAACUGAGAAAACUAAAAGCACUGAUUCCAUGGGGUGCUGUGAGUAUUAAGUCCAUGGAAGGUUCUCAGGGGGUGCCUUCCCGGAGCAAAAUAUGCAUGUAACAAAUAUCAGCCAUCAUUAUUUCUACUAAAGCACUGAAAGAAACACAACUAAAAGACCUAAAACACAGCUUUAUAUUUUAUAGUGAUUUUGGGGGGGCAUGCCAUAGGAAAUGAUUUGAUAUCUGUAGAUUUUAAAGUCAAAAUGUUUCAUGGCUAAUUGAGAAAAAUCUUGGGCUCUUUAAGAUUAGUGUGAGGUUUAGAGAUAAUAAAUGUAAAGCAUGUGACAUAGUGCCUGACAGAUACUCAGUAAGUUGUAGGAGGUUCUAUUAUUACCAAUAUCAUCAUGAUUCAUACAUUUCUUUUCUCUCCACUUUGGCUUGACAUGUGGAUACAUGAGGCCAGUAGGAAGAAGUCACCCAUGACUAUCUGGAACAACAUUGUGGGGAAGGCCAAGUUUCUGUGGUGACGUGUGGCAAAUGGAUUGUAAAUGAAGAUAGACUGUGUAAUGAAUGACGACACUAAAGACUAAUGUGAAGGACUUUAGGGAAAACAAAAGGCUUUCAUCUGAAAGGAUGAUCUGUGGACCAAGGUCACUCAUACCACUCACUGCUCAUUUUCUCAUGUUAUUUUAAAACUUUUUUCGGCCUUUAUACUGCUUUCAGCAGCAUUUGUGUGUAAGAAGUGGA
rnacentral:lncRNA from 1 species